rnacentral:sRNA from 1 species
AAGAAAGUGACUGCCGCCCCGCACAGGGGCAACGCCAAUAGACCGAUAAGAAAACAAGUUCCACGAAAAAAACCCAAAAGCAAACGAGAAAAAAAGUCAUUGCGCUUCCUCAAGCGCCUCUU